ACAAAAACAAUAAUCUUGAUCAUCUCGCCUAGGACACUUCAUGUGAUGUGAAUUGACUGAAAAUACUAACAAAUUGAUGCAACGCAAUUAUGUCAUGGCAGACAUUCAAUUUGGCAAGUCUAACAUUGAACGUCCUUCGCUAUCUAGGGAAAAAUAAAAUAAAACAUUUGAAAUAUUAAACAAAAGUGUCUCGUGAGUGGGGGUUUUCACCAACAUAUUUAGUAAAUACAUUUUAACCAUAACGUGUGUUGCUAUUCUUUUUCCAAAACCAUGCUAUAUUAAUAGUUACGCAUUCAAAUAGUAAAAUCAUUUCCUUUCAAAUCAUUCAUAAAAGUUCCUAUCGCAUAGGAAUACAUUCCUCAUAACGCAUACAAUACUUAUUUGGGUAUAUUCUGUUUGAAAGUUUAAGGACAUUUUUGUGUAAGUAUUCCUCGUAAAGUUCCUAUCGCAUAGGAUUUUUUUUUUUUUUUUACCCAAACUACAAAGUUUAAUCUAAGUAAAUACCUUUAGAAAAAUGAAUAAAAAAUAGAGACAAUGAUGUUUUUGGAAAGUGAGAAAAGGACAAUGGAGGGGGGAGGGGUAUCUAGUAUUGUUCUAUGUCCCAUGUUAAACAUGGGACCUUCCUUUCUUUUAUUUUAUUUUUAAAUAAAAGAUUCUUAAAGAGAUUUUAGAAAAAUUAGCAUAUUAUAGUAUUUUGUAUUUUAUAAAUGUCCUAAAUAUAAUAACAUUUCAUUUCUUUUUUCUAGAAUGAUGUGAUUUAAAUAAUUGUUGUAAAAAAUAAAGUGAUGAGAAAAAUAUUGACAAAAAUAAGUUAGCAAAAUUGUGUACCCAAUACAUGAUUUCUUUAAGUCAUGUACCCGAUUCACUACUUCGAUCGCAUGUGUAUAGCUCACUUGCAAGUGUGGCAGUGUGGACUGCCAGUUGUUCACCAUGCCAAAAUCAUGUACCGAAUACAUAACUUCAAAUGUGAUGUCGUUUACCCAUUCCAUAACUUGAACGUGAAGUUUUGUUCCUUUAUAUUAUGUUAUAUUCUGUUUGACCUUUCUUUUAAUAACAAAAAUCAACAAAUAAGGAAAUAAAAUUAAGAGAUUGAAAACCCUACCUAACUUCCACUCCCCUUUUCCCUCCCCCUCCUUGCUGUGAAACAAGACUAGCCACAACCCAUUUUCUUAUUUCUUCUUCUCCUUCAAGCUUUCCAUCAAUCAGCUUCAGACCUUGAAUAGGCCAGUGGCUUCGCUUGACGUGCGUGAUGGUGGACAAUCCAAAUCGAUGUGAUUUCACGGUAGACGAACAACAACAAUGCUUUCCUUCUCUAACGACAAUUAAUUCUUAGCAUCGAACAACUUGUUUUUAUAUUUUUGUCACUUUGGGAGUUAAUUUGACGCUUAUCCAUAAUAUUUCGACAUUAUUUUUUAGUUACUCACUUUGUGAUGGCUCUAAAUAUGUAGUAUUUAGUGUAUUUAGAUACCAACCGGCAAUGUUUUGAGUUGUGUUGCGUAAGAAUAAGUGGUAUAAGACUUUUGAGACAUUUGUUGAAAAUUAUCAUUUAAGACAAAAUACUAUGAUAGAUAUUGAAUAUCAAUAAAUAUUUAUAUAUAAAUCGUCGUAAAAUAAUCAAUUAUGACAUUUUUAUUCACGAGUUAUUUAUUAACUUACGUGGAUUAAAGAACUAAAAAAAAGUCACAGAAAAUGAUAAUAACAUUUUGUAAAAGUCGUCUAAACCUAUUUUUGUAGCUGUAUUUUCUUUUAUCCAUCUUGCUUUUAUUUGUAAAGAGAACCAUUUUCAAUUUUUGGAGAAAUCUUCCAUAAAUUUAUAGGUUUUAUAAAAAAUAAAAAAAAAACGUUUUAGGGAGUUUAUAACUUACAUGCUUUAUUUGAUAAUAAUAAUAAUAUAUGUAAAAAAAAUGAAUGGUAAUGACCUGAAAAAGUAAAUAAAACCUUUUUUUUGUGGAUAAAAUAAUAGUAUACUAAAUUAUUCAUGUUCAAGAUAUAUAGAAAAGUUUAGACAAUCGAAUAAUUAGACAUAUUUAUUUAGAUUAUAUGUAUAGAAUAAAUUUUUAAAAAUAAUAUUAUUUUAAUAAAUAAUGAAAAAAUAGGGGGGAAAGAAAAAGAUUAGACAAAGUUUUGUCAGCGAUUUUCAUUUAAAGAAGUCUUUGACCGAGUGGUUUUCCACCGUCAAAUUUUCAUUUAUGUCUUGGGUUCAGUUUUCCGAUGUUUUCCCUUUUUUUGUGCAACUUAAUGAUUUUAAAAUUACUUUUGUUUUCAACUUUUAACAUUUUUCUAGAUUUCCAUUGUUAAACUAAAUUGUCUUUUGUAAUAUAUAACUUACAUAAUUUCAGUCUAAAGUCUAUGAUUUUAAAUGUUUAACAAUAAUUUUUAAAAAAUAAUUUUAAAUUUUACAUAGGGCUUUUCGAGUAUUUAUUAUUAUUUUAUAUGUUUAUAAACCAUUUAAAACAUGUAGUUUGACACAUGAUAAAGAAAGUUAAUAUAAUAUAAUGGAUUGUAAAUACAAUUAUAUUGAAUACAUAUACAACUGUCGACUCAAUUUAUUUUUUUAAUAUAACAUAAUGGAUUGUAAAUUAUAAAAUAUUACAAAAAAAAUAAAUAUAUAAAUAUUUCGUUAAAUUACAAAUUUAGUGUUUUGGUUUUCAUAAAAUUAUAGAAAAUAGUCUUAAACUAUUUACCAAAGAUAGUCUUAAACUAUUUACCAAAGAUUUUCAAAUCAUAAAAACUAUAUGAGAUUUAUUAUAGAAAAUAGUCUUAAACUAUUUACCAAAGAUAGUCUUAAACUAUUUACCAAAGAUUUUCAAAUCAUAAAAACUAUAUGAGAUUUUAUCAAAUGGUAGAGACUAAACUCUUCCUUUCUCAAAACCAUACAAACUAAAUAUGAAAUUUAGCCAAAAUUUUAAAUAUAAAUUAUAAUCAUAUAGUUUAUUGUCAGUUAAAUCUUGGUUGAUAAAUAAGACUAAUUUUAUGGUUUAUAAAUAUAUAAUAUUAGACAUGUUUAAACAUUCUCUUAAAUUUGAAUCAAAAUUUUUAAAAUUUUGAAUAUUUUGAAUUUGCUAAGUAAGGCGAACUUAAAAUAUAAUUGUCUUAAUUGUAUUCCUUGUAUAAAAAUUUCAAAAUUGAGAUUUUAUACCAAGUAGACCCUAGCCUCUCACCACAGAAAAUAAGAUAAAAAGUAAAAACCUAACCUUUAAUCACGAUUGUGACCACCAAAGUCGUCCAUUGAAAUAGAAACACCAAUAGUUAAAUAAAGAGAUAUAUAAGAGAGAAGAGUGUAGAAAUAAAACCUGUAGAUUCAAG
rnacentral:lncRNA from 1 species